UAAGACGAAGGUGGCAAGCGUUGUUCGGAAUCACUGGGCUUAAAGAGCGCGUAGGCGGAACAGUAAGCGUCCUGUGAAAUCCCCCGGCUUAACCGGGGAACGGCUGGGCGAACUGCUGUUCUUGAGGCAAGCAGGGGUGCGUGGAACUCUUGGUGGAGCGGUGAAAUGCGUAGAUAUCAAGAGGAACGCCGGUGGAGAAAUCGGCGCACUGGGCUUGUUUCCGGCCAGAAAGCCGGCGGGCCCCGACGCUGAGGCGCGAAAGCGUGGGGAGCGAACGGGAUUAGAUACCCCGGUAGUCCACGCCGUAAACGAUGCCUACUAGGUUGCGGGAGCUUCUGACGUUCUCGCGGCCGAAGCAAAAGUGUUAAGUAGGCCGCCUGGGGAGUACGGUCGCAAGGCUA
rnacentral:rRNA from 1 species